rnacentral:rRNA from 1 species
GACGAACGCUGGCGGCGCGCCUAACACAUGCAAGUCGAACGGAGUCAAGAGGAGCUUGCUUUUCUUGACUUAGUGGCGAACGGGUGAGUAACGCGUGAGUAACCUGCCCUGGAGUGGGGGACAACAGUUGGAAACGACUGCUAAUACCGCAUAAGCCCACGGAUCCGCAUGGAUCUGCGGGAAAAGGAUUUAUUCGCUUCAGGAUGGACUCGCGUCCAAUUAGCUAGUUGGUGAGGUAACGGCCCACCAAGGCGACGAUUGGUAGCCGGACUGAGAGGUUGAGCGGCCACAUUGGGACUGAGACACGGCCCAGACUCCUACGGGAGGCAGCAGUGGGGGAUAUUGCACAAUGGGGGAAACCCUGAUGCAGCGACGCCGCGUGGAGGAAGAAGGUUUUCGGAUUGUAAACUCCUGUCGUUAGGGACGAUAAUGACGGUACCUAACAAGGAAGCACCGGCUAACUACGUG